GAGAAGGUUGGGCUAAUUGAGAAGGAUAAAAGAAGGAUGUAUUGUACUGUAGCGUUGGGCGAACUAUCGCGUUAGACCCUGCCGCUAAAGGAUCCACUUCGUGCUCCAGGCGUUUUUAGCCUCGCUUAUAUAUACGAUCCUUCGGUUUAAAAAAUACCCGAACAAUUUUUUUUCUCUGUUUUUUUUUGCUGAGGGAGAGGGAUCGCCAGGUUUUGACCAGACGUCCGAAGGCGUUUUGUAUUGUUUUUUUUUUUCGAUGAGGAUGAGGGACGAACAAGUUCAUCCAUACCCCGACUGGAUUUAAGAGAGAAGAAAAAAUUACGAGAGUGUCAAAGUUGCUUCUACAACGGAAAUGAAUGAACACCUCUACGACUAUUUCUUCGAAUUGUUCCGGACGUGGAUGAAUUCAUAUUCCCAUUUGGGAAUUUAUUUAUUUUAUUUCCACGAAUCAAUGACUAUAAAAAAACUGUAUCCUGUAGUAAAUCGACCUGCCAAUUUCUGUCACUCUGCAAAGAUCAAUAUAGAAGCAUGAGGUCAUGCUGAACAUUUGAGAAGGCAUUUGCUGACAAUCAGAUGAUUAGUUUUCACAGCAAGUGAACGAAUAUGAGAGGGUGAACGCGAGUGGCAGAGUGAUGGAGGCGGAAUGAGUGACUGGGUAGUUCUGCGGUAUUCUCCUCUCGAUCCGGUAAAAUGAGGUAUCAGAGGAUGGCACCGGUAAACCGGAAAAGCUUAUCAUUCGAAGAGGAGUCGAGGAGAAGUGUAUAACCAGAAAAAAAAUGUGAAAAACAAGAAAAUUCAGUUUCCAGAGAAUGCGAAUUUUCGUCAAAAAAUUAGAACUUGGAAUGUGUAGGGGGAGGUUAGACUCCAGAGAAUCCCAAUUAUAACAGGGUGUAUAAUACCGGAUGUUUCCAGUACGAAAGAGGAAACAAUUAAUUGUAAUUGAUACCGCGAAACAUCGUGGGCGGUGUUGAAUGUAAGUUAAAUAACCCUUCAACGGACGUAACAGAUGUGACCUGCCUUUUUUAUCCUUCGGAUAUUGAAACGGAAAACAAUACAUGGUUAAUGAUGCAUUUAAUCUAAUCUCACUGGAAUAUUGCGUUACGGUGUGGUUUUGUGUUGAUUGACAAUUAGUCGUGUCAAUAUUUUUUGACUCGUCAAUGCUAGAUCAGGGGGAAUAAUGACUGUGAACGAUGAUAUUGUUGGAUAAUGAACGCAAUAAGAAUAACAUUCAUGGGAAAUUAUAAAUGUCGAAUUUUUGGGCCCUCUCGGAGCACACAAUCGAUCGAUCUCUUCCCUUUUUUCGAUAAUGGGUGGGGUGCUUGUUUCAAUUAUUUGAUUGGUCAUAUAAUCCUGUUCUGGACCUGUCAUUGCAGGAAUUUACUGCAUCACGGGGAUUAAUAGGCGAAAAAAGGUCUGACAUCGCCCAUUGGUGAUAAUAGCAGAAGGAUUUACAUCAUUUGAGUUUUUUAGUUGACCUUUUCCUGAUUUUACAUAGGGUACUGUAUUAUAAAAUGACUCCGGGAGGUUUUUCAUUGCACACAAAGAAAGAGUAACUACUAACAAAGGUGUAAAAAAUUUUUUUAUACUUUGGAAAUGCAGUUUCAAGAUUUUUGAUUCAGGACUUUCCUUUUGGCGUAAAUGAACUCAACAAAGUUGAGCUAUUAAAUCUUCGUUUUAAGUCAUUGGAGAAUGUACACUGUACUCAUUCGUGAGUACAAAUGUAAAAAAUAAUGUUCUCUAUAAAAAUAGUUAAUAUAACUCUGUUUUAUAUACUGUUUUAUAAUACUCUGACAGUAAAUGUUACUUAAACUCUUGGCUUGGCGUUCGUUUCGGGAAAAAUUAAAACCGAGUAAUGACAGGAUAGACUGCAUCGGUGUAUUGAAGAAUGAUCGGUGAAUAAAAAAAAGAAUUCUGCAUGCGUUAAUUCGGCUGACCCACAUCACUCGUGCGGUUCACAACGUGUCGAUAACAUGGUGGAGGGAUUUCAAAUUUGCAUGUACAUGAAAAGUACGUUGCAUCGGUGCAAUUAGAGCAGAGGAAGUGAGAAAUUUGGAGUUGAAAAAUCACUAAACCCCCUUUGACCGAGGAAUAUUCAAAUUGGAGAAUGGGAGAGGAGCGAACCGUGUUAUUUAGCUCAUUUAUAAGUAGUAAAAUCUUAAAAUCAGAUGGCAAUGAAAAUGUGAAAAUGGUUGGUAAAGUUUACUAGCACAGUAAUUUUCAUUUUUAUCGGGACAAAAUUUUUACAACUUGGAAUAGAAUUCGGUCAUAAUAUAUUACUUUUCUUUCCUCUCCAUGAACCCUCUCGUGAACCUGAACAUAUCAUGGAAUCAUCAAUUUUUAUAGAAUCGGUAACUUGAGAUUUUGUCUCGGUGAAUAAUGUUCAAUAGUGUUCUGUAUUUCAAAAUAGCCAUUUCCAAAUUGGAAAUUCGGACAGUUCACAGUGUUGUUUGGAGAAAUCUAUUGAAAUUCAAUAGAAUAAAUUUCCGUGAAUGUGGCCUAAAGGGUAAUUGGAUUAAAAGUUUUGUUUGUCAGGUUUAGUUCUAGUUACGAUGAAACAGAUUUUGGGCCCAUGUACGUAUUAUCCCCAAUAGAAUCUCACCUAUUCUCCAAGUUAUAAGUUUUUAACUGAGACACUGUAGUACAAAGUUAGUAUUGACUCAACAUUAACAACUAUGUCUUAUCUCCUCCUGCAUGCAACCCUUUAAUACUCUAACUCGUUGGGAUUUUGAUUUUCACCCCUGCCCAUGUGGUGAAAAAUGUUUUCCCAGAAAAAAAAACUAAAAUGAAAUAAUAAUAAUAUUAAAGACGAACCAUACCCAACCCAUUUGAAACUGCGUGCAGCACGGAGAUGAGGAAUCAUUAGUGAAGUCAUUUGGAUCUCGGUCAUCGGAGACACGCAAGCGCGUGCGUGACUCAAAAAUUAGGGAUGCCGAGCACGCGCGAGUAUUGACGAACUAUAUUUUAAUGCACAAAGUACCGAAAAAAAAUAUUCAAAAGAAGAGAAAAAGAAAAGAUGGAGAAAUUAGCAUUCAACUUAUCACGUGACAAUGCGGAUAGAGCGAAAAAAUUCAUGAAUGCAAAAAUUAUUGCAAAAUAAAUGGGAAUUUUUUAACGGUUAAAAAAUUUGAUAUAUUUUGCUGCUUCAAAUAAUUACAUCUACUCAUUUGUUCUAACGAUCUUUCGGUAAA